rnacentral:rRNA from 1 species
GUGGGGAAUAUUGGACAAUGGGCGAAAGCCUGAUGCAGCAACGCCGCGUGAAGGAAGAAGGCCCUUGGGUCGUAAACUUCUGUUCUAAGGGAAGAUAAUGACGGUACCUUAGGAGCAAGUCCCGGCUAACUACGUGCCAGCAGCCGCGGUAAUACGUAGGGGGCGAGCGUUAUCCGGAAUUAUUGGGCGUAAAGAGUACGUAGGUGGUUAUCUAAGCGAGGGGUUUAAGGCGAUAGCGCAACUAGUGUUUGCCCCGCGAACUGGGUGACUUGAGUGCGGGAGAGGAAAGCGGAAUUCCUAGUGUAGCGGUGAAAUGCGUAGAUAUUAGGAGGAACAUCAGUGGCGAAGGCGGCUUUCUGGACAGUAACUGACACUGAGGUACGAAAGUGUGGGGAGCAAACAGGAUUAGAUACCCCAGUAGUCC